rnacentral:lncRNA from 1 species
AUCAGAUGGACAAGAUUUAUCGUGAUGGACGAUGUAGAAAUUCCACACAAUCAACUUUAAUGAAAAAUCAUCGAACGACCCUCUUUGCUCUUGUAUCCCCGAACGACGGGCUAGAUCGACACGAGAUGGGUAUUUAAACAUCGCAUCAUAGGAGAACCUAACCCUAGCUUCCCAGCCCUCACUAGAGAAGAAGAACCAGACGCUGGAGAAGGAGGCCGAAUCCCUGCUACCACCGUACCGGAGCCACCGCCGACUCUAAAAAAAUGUAAAAAUUUCCCUUUCCACUCGAAAUUUGAUUCUAAGUCUCCUUGUGGCUAUAUCAAAGCAAAGGGAUAAUGAGUGAGUCAUAAAUUGUGGGAAAAACCCAACGGAGUUGCUGCGGCCAAAACCCUAAAACCCCUCAGAUGGCCAUCUUCUCGUUUUUCCGUUUCACACGAUUCGUUGACCAUUGUGUUUACCGUCCCUUUCUGUGUAGGUUAGUCGAAGGAGAAACCCCAGCCGCAAAGGAGAACCAGCAGAGCCGCUGCACCGGAGACCCCCUAUCGGUAGAUUUGUUUGUUUUUUUUAUUU